UGGGGGAUAUUGCACAAUGGGCGAAAGCCUGAUGCAGCGACGCCGCGUGGGGGAUGAAGGCUUUCGGGUUGUAAACCUCUUUCGCUAUCGAACAAGGCCCGCUUAGGGUGGGUUGAGGGUAGGUGGAGAAGAAGCGCCGGCUAACUACGUGCCAGCAGCCGCGGUAAUACGUAGGGCGCGAGCGUUGUCCGGAAUUAUUGGGCGUAAAGGGCUUGUAGGCGGCUUGUUGCGCCUGCUGUGAAAACGCGGGGCUUAACUUCGCGCGUGCAGUGGAUACGGGCAGGCUUGAGUGUGGUAGGGGUGACUGGAAUUCCAGGUGUAGCGGUGGAAUGCGCAGAUAUCUGGAGGAACGCCGAUGGCGAAGGCAGGUCACUGGGCCAUUACUGACGCUGAGGAGCGAAAGCAUGGGUAGCGAACAGG
rnacentral:rRNA from 1 species